rnacentral:rRNA from 1 species
UACGGAGGGUGCAAGCGUUAAUCGGAAUUACUGGGCGUAAAGCGCACGUAGGUGGUUUGCUAAGCUAGCUGUGAAAUCCCCGGGCUCAACCUGGGCACUGCAGUUAGAACUGGCAAGCUAGAGUAGGGUAGAGGGGUGUGGAAUUCCAGGUGUAGCGGUGAAAUGCGUAGAUAUGUGGAGGAACACCGAUGGCGAAGGCAGCCCCCUGGGUCAAAACUGACGCUCAUGCACGAAAGCGUGGGGAGCAAACAGG